UACGUAGGGGGCUAGCGUUGUCCGGAAUCAUUGGGCGUAAAGAGCGUGUAGGCGGCUCGGUAAGUCCGCUGUGAAAGCCCGGGGCUCAACCCCGGGAGGCGGGUGGAUACUGUCAAGCUCGAGUCCGGAAGAGGAGUGUGGAAUUCCUGGUGUAGCGGUGAAAUGCGCAGAUAUCAGGAGGAACACCAAUGGCGAAGGCAGCUCGCUGGGACGGUACUGACGCUGAGACGCGAAAGCGUGGGGAGCAAACAGG
rnacentral:rRNA from 1 species